rfam:Ixodes scapularis strain Wikel colony gcontig_1108378359826, whole genome shotgun sequence.
GCCAGGAUGGUCUAAUCGGUUAAGGCGUCGCCCCUAGGCGAAGGUUGCGGGUUCAAUACCCGCUCCUGGCC